AUGCCGUCUGGAACACGGGGCGUCCAAAGUCCCUAUGGCAAAACAAGGAGGCACAUCAACCCGCGAUUGCCUUGGUCUCAGCCCAUUGGGCAGAACAAGCCGCGGGGCCCCAAUCUAGCUGCAGAGGAGGCAGGGAAGUGUAGCCCAGCACAUGGAAUCUGUGGCGAGUGCUGUCUCUCCAGCCAGCCUUCCCCCAGGACAUCUCAGGGUAUGCCAUUCAAGAAACGAGACUCAACCCUGUGGAGGAGAGGAGCCCAUGGCCAUGGAAAUGAACCAUGCAAGGUGAUGGGGAACUUUCGGGGAAGGCCCUCUGUCUGCUGCUGUUCACUAGCCAUCACACAGCAAUCUGAGCUCCGGGAGCUCUCCGGAUACUCAGAAGGAACAACCUCAGCAGCUGGUCCACUCCCUGCCACAAGCGACGGUCCAAAUCGUGGCUACUCUGACCUUGAUCUUCAACCUCACUCCUAGGCUAGCGAUGCAGAAGAAAGCACGGGACUUGGAGAAAGACAAGCCCACGUUCAAAUUCUGCUCUCUUUCACCAGCUGACAGACUCAGGAAAGUCACCCACCCCCCGCGAUCAGAUUGGCAGGACUGCAAAUUGGGAUAACAGGACCGUCCUCACUGGUGGUUGGGAGAGUUACGAGGAAGGACUGGCUCCCCAUCUGUCUUCAACCGCCGUCCCCC
rnacentral:lncRNA from 1 species